rnacentral:sRNA from 1 species
AUUUUAGUAAAUAAUCGUGUAGUUAAUGUGGAGAGAUUUUGGGAAGAUUGUUAAAUGUCAAAUAUUUAAUUCGAAGAUUUUCUUUUUAAUUAUCAAAAACAAACAUUAAAAUUCAGUGGCAGCCAUUGUAAAUAAGUCUCAACUACAAGAUUUAUUUCAAAAAAUGGCUGCAAAAAUGUAUAUAUAGAUAAGAAACGAUAGUCGGUUUUGAUAGGUAUAAGAUUAGCAAAUAUAUUAGUUAGCUUAAAUUAGUUAAAGAAUACAAAUUGAAAAGGUAUAUUACAUUAUUCGAAUAUAGUAUCAAAACUUAUAUAACACAGAGAUUUGAUAAUUUUUUAAUUGUUGAAUACUUUUUUGUGCUAAUUUUUAUGUGAUUAAGAUUUAAUUGAUUUCGUAUAUAAAAUAUUAAAUUAACUUAUUUGUUUAUAAUUUGGUAACAGAUAGAUAUUUGAAUAUUCAGUAUAUUUUGCUUCAGUUUAGGAAAUCUUUGAUGAUCCGUCUUUAAAUCCAAUAAGCCCUAUAAUCUAGAUAUUAAGCUGCAGUAUACCGCAGGUAGGCUUAUAUUUUAGUUAAACUAAAAUCUUUUAUCGUAAAGAUGAUUUUAAAAUAUAUGAUAUUAUUUUAUUUUAUUUUAUAUGUAUAGUAACUGUGAGUUCAUGUAUAUGUUUUGUUGAUAUUAUCUAUAUUGUUUAGUGUUUAAGAUUAUACACUUGUAGUUUGAUUAUUGUUAAUUUAAGAGUUUCACCUGUAGUAUUCCAUCUUGUAUUAAUAUCGAUCUAAACCCGUCAAUUUUAGGAUUUUCAAGCUUUUAUUAAAAAUUGAAUCACAUCUAAUAUGUUAUUAAUUAUUGUUGUAUAUAAGAUUAUAAAUUUUCAAUAUAAUAUGUAUGGAAUUGAAUAUAAAUAUUUCUAAUUAUGACCCGUUACUCAGUAGAAAGUUUUCUUAAAUCUAUUUUUCACCCGUUAUAAUAUUUUUUCAUGUAUUGAACAGUUUAUAUUUGUUUUUAAAAAUUCAAAUUGUGGCAUAUGCGAAAUAACUCUAAUUAUUUUUUUAUAAUGAUGAUAUUAUUUUCCCGCAAAAAUAAAAUCAUAUAAAGAUGAGAAGUGAACUAUAAUAAUUAAUAAAAAAUUAAUAUGAUAAUUUAGAUAUCAGAUAUAGUUUGUUGAUUUUAAUUUGUUAUUUUUUUGGAAAUUAAUAAUGUAUUUCGUUUUUUUAAUU